GGAGCUCUAACGUUAAAAAAAUUAUGUAUAAUAUUAAUAAAAGUAGUUAAAAAAUUAAAAUAUAAAACAUUUUGGAAAUAUAUACCUCAAAUAAAUAGAAAUGCUAUUACUACUGUACAAACAAACGCUGAUCUGAAUAAGCAUGUGAUAAAUUACGAAACUGAUAAAUGCAAACGUGUUGUAAAUUUUAUGACAUCAGAUAGUGACACUGAUAGUGGCAGCUCUUCUUUGAAAUCUAUAAGUGAACAUUCUUCUCCAGAAAAAGCAAGUUAUACAAUAAAAAAAAACGCAGCUACUGAAACAAUAGCUACUCAUAAUAUUAUCGAAACAGACACUCUUCAGUAUGAUAUAUGCGAUAAAAAAAAAAAAAAAAUAGUUAUCCCGAUAUUAAAGAGGUUUGUAAUUCGGAAAGUCGAAGCGAACACGAGUCGAGUCAGCUGAACGUGCUGAACAUGGUAAACGACUUAGACAACUUGGGCUAUGACAUUACCGGGGAUUCACAAAAGUUGUGUCUUACUUCUGAUGAAUAUAAAAGCAAAAGUAGUAUCAAUACGACUAAUUCAUAUAUAAAAAAACAAGUGGAAAGUAAAAAAACAAUUACUUAUUGUGAAAAGCUUAUAGAUGAAAUUAAAGGGAGGUUAAAAUUGUACGAACACGAAACUAAUCAAAAAUUAGGGACGACAAUUGAGAAAGAAUAUUACCCGAGCAGAGAUCUACACAUAUGUACAUCGCAAAACAAAGCUAAUGAUUUUGACUAUGAAUGUGACUACGAUUACAGUGUAAAGAAGUCAACUACAAAUAUAACAAAACCAUAUGGAAAUUGCAAUAGCGACAGUGGUAAUAGCGACAAAAAAAAUAAAAUGAAUAAAAAUACGAUACCAAAUAACAUAAACAUUCUUGAUGAAAAUAAUUUGGACAUGUAUUAUCAGCCAACUGAAGAUACUUGUGAUUUGGUUUUAUCAAAAAACAUUUAUCCAACUGAAGUUGGUACAAACCCUUUUGAAAAUGAAAAAAAUAAUUUUAAUAAUAAUAAAGACUAUAUAGCUUAUGACGAAGGAUAUAGCCAACAAAAUGGAAAACUGUUUAAAAAAAAGUAUAUAUACAAAUACAAUACCUUUCACUCGUGGGAAUAUAUAAACCGAACAGAUAUCCUUUUUGAUAUGUCAUAUUUUUAUAUUAAACAGUUGGUAUGUGUUUUUAAAAUUAAGUUAAAAUAUUUUGAUAUACCAAAAAUAUAUAACUACGAUGAGUUUAAAAAUAUAAUAAUAGAUAUUAAUAAUAUUUUAUAUAUAAAAAUUAAUGAAAACCUUUUAAAUAAACUGAUUAUACAAAAUAACUUGGAAAAUGUGAUUAACAAUGGUUUAGUGACAAAUCAUAAGAAAAAAUAUAAUAAAACGUUUAGAAUAGUUUUAUUAUUUAACACUGGCAAUGUUGUUAUAUAUGCUUGCAAAAACCAGCAGGAAGUUUUAUGU
rnacentral:lncRNA from 1 species